AACGCACAUUGCGCCCCUUGGUAUUCCGAGGGGCAUGCCUGUUCGAGCGUCAUUACACCACUCAAGCUAUGCUUGGUAUUGGGUGCCGUCCUUAGUUGGGCGCGCCUUAAAGACCUCGGCGAGGCCUCACCGGCUUUAGGCGUAGUAGAAUUUAUUCGAACGUCUGUCAAAGGAGAGGACUUCUGCCGACUGAAACCUUUAUUUUUCUAGGUUGACCUCGGAUCAGGUAGGGAUACCCGCUGAACUUAA
rnacentral:misc_RNA from 1 species